GACGAACGCUGGCGGCGUGCUUAACACAUGCAAGUCGAGCGGAGCGGCGGACGGGUGAGUAAUGCCUAGGAAUCUGCCUGGUAGUGGGGGGUAACGUCCGGAAACGGGCGCUAAUACCGCAUCCUAUCAGAUGAGCCUAGGUCGGAUUAGCUAGUUGGUGGGGUAAAGGCCUACCCAGGCGACGAUCCGUAACUGGUCUGAGAGGAUGAUCAGUCACACUGGAACUGAGACACGGUCCAGACUCCUACGGGAGGCAGCAGUGGGGAAUAUGGGACAAUGGUCGAAAGCCUGAUCCAGCCAUGCCGCUUGUGUGAAGAAGGUCUUCGGAUUGUAAAGCACUUUAAGUUGGGAGGCGUUACCAACAGAAGAAGCACCGGCUAACUUCGUGCCAGCAGCCGCGGUAAUUC
rnacentral:rRNA from 1 species